rnacentral:lncRNA from 1 species
AGAAAAGCUAACUCACUAAGGAGUGCUGACCUGGGGAGCUCCUAGUGUGCUUGCCUAGCAUGUGUGAGGCCCUGGGUUCGAUCCUCAGCACCACAUAAAAAUAAAUUAAGGUAUUGUGUCCAUCUACAACUACAAAAAAAGAAAAAUUAAAACAACAACAACAACAAAAAAUCCCCAUAUUCCAGGUCCUGACAACAUGAGACAGAACAGAAGUGCAGUCUGAAGAGAGGAGUUAAAAAAGUAUAUAGCAUUAAAUUGGACGCUGUGGCCCAUGCCUAUAAUCCCAUAUACUCAGGCUGCUAAAGCAGGAGGAUUGCAAGUUCAAGGCCAGCCUCAGCUACUCAGCAAGACCCUUGGCAGCUUAGGCCCUGUCUCAAAAAAUAAAAAGGGCUGGGGAUGUGGCUCAGUAGUAAAGGCCCUUGGAUCAAAUCCCUAGUACCAGAAACAAAACAAAACAAAAAAAACUGGGUGCAAUGGCAUACAUAUGUAAUCCCAGUGAUUUAGGAGGCUGAGAUAGGAUUGCAAGUUUAAGGCCAGCCUCAGCAAUUUAGGGAGGUCCUAAACAACUUAGCAAGACCCUGUCUCAAAAAUAAAGGGUUGGAGAUAUAGCUCAAUGAUACUGUGCCCCUGGGUUAAAUCUCCAGUACAAACAAAACAAAAAAACAGUAUUAAAAGGUUAGCAAGGAGAUAGAAGUCCUGUUUUUCCACCUCUCCUUACUCUUGAGUCUUUUUCCCCAGAAUCAGCAACUUUUUUUUUUUUUUAGUUCUUUCUGCUGGUGUUCCAUACUUCUAAAGAUUACAUUAUUCUAUUAUAUACACAUUAAUUCUAACCUAUAACAUUUACAUAUAGUAUGUUGAUUUCUGGUUAUGGCAUUAAGAAAUUUGUUACUCUUAUUUUUGUCUCCCCUCCCAAACUAUA